rnacentral:rRNA from 1 species
GGGACACGUGGUAUCCUGUCUGAAUAUGGGGGGACCAUCCUCCAAGGCUAAAUACUCCUGACUGACCGAUAGUGAACCAGUACCGUGAGGGAAAGGCGAAAAGAACCCCGGCGAGGGGAGUGAAAAAGAACCUGAAACCGUGUACGUACAAGCAGUGGGAGCACCUUCGGGUGUGACUGCGUACCUUUUGUAUAAUGGGUCAGCGACUUAUAUUCUGUAGCAAGGUUAACCGUAUAGGGGAGCCGCAGGGAAACCGAGUCUUAACUGGGCGUUAAGUUGCAGGGUAUAGACCCGAAACCCGGUGAUCUAGCCAUGGGCAGGUUGAAGGUUGGGUAACACUAACUGGAGGACCGAACCGACUAAUGUUGAAAAAUUAGCGGAUGACUUGUGGCUGGGGGUGAAAGGCCAAUCAAACCGGGAGAUAGCUGGUUCUCCCCGAAAGCUAUUUAGGUAGCGCCUCGUGAACUCAUCUUCGGGGGUAGAGCACUGUUUCGGCUAGGGGGUCAUCCCGACUUACCAACCCGAUGCAAACUACGAAUACCGAAGAAUGUUAUCACGGGAGACACACGGCGGGUGCUAACGUCCGUCGUGAAGAGGGAAACAACCCAGACCGCCAGCUAAGGUCCCAAAGUCAUGGUUAAGUGGGAAACGAUGUGGGAAGGCACAGACAGCCAGGAUGUUGGCUUAGAAGCAGCCAUCAUUUAAAGAAAGCGUAAUAGCUCACUGGUCGAGUCGGCCUGCGCGGAAGAUGUAACGGGGCUAAACCAUGCACCGAAGCUGCGGCAGCGACACUAUGUGUUGUUGGGUAGGGGAGCGUUCUGUAAGCCUGCGAAGGUGUGCUGUGAGGCAUGCUGGA